GAUGAAGAACGCAGCGAAAUGCGAUAAGUAAUGUGAAUUGCAGAAUUCAGUGAAUCAUCGAAUCUUUGAACGCACAUUGCGCCCGCCAGUAUUCUGGCGGGCAUGCCUGUCUGAGCGUCAUUUCAACCCUCAUGCCCCUAGGGCGUGGUGUUGGGGAUCGGCCAAAGCCCGUGAGGGACGGCCGGCCCCUAAAUCUAGUGGCGGACCCGUCGUGGCCUCCUCUGCGAAGUAGUGAUAUUCCGCAUCGGAGAGCGACGAGCCCCUGCCGUUAAACCCCCAACUUUCCAAGGUUGACCUCAGAUCAGGUAGGAAUACCCGCUGAACUUAAGCAUAUCAAUAAGCGGAGGA
rnacentral:misc_RNA from 1 species